AGAAGUCGAUUCAGAGCCCCAGGAAGCCCGCUCACAGACCCUGCCUCCUGACCUGCAGGGCUAAACAUCUAGGGCUGCACUUGCGCAGUUCAUUGCCCCACGGCGCCUCAGGGGGUCCCGCCCCUGCUCUUCCGGUGGGCCAGAGCACAAUGCCCAAACCUAAACGAGUCCCUGUGGUGAACCCUGGCAGCACUGACUUCGACAGGGGUGCGAGGUGCGCGGCCAAGUGGGGAGGUGUCCGUCAGGACUGGGAUUUACCUGAAAAGUGGCUUGAACCAGAACCCACGCCAAUUCAUCUAGAGGAAGUGGCCUCUGGCAACUGGGUGUUUCUCAUCCCCGGACGCGCAGAUAGCCCCGCACAACUCCUGAGAUCUCGCGAGAUCGACCUGCCUCUGGGGAGAGUAGGCGGUAGUGUCCUGGGACUGCUUGCUCUCGACCUCCUAGACUACCCCGACGGGUCACCAGGGAGAAUACUGUUAGAAAGGCUUACUGGGUAAUGAAAAAUGGAGUUCUACUGGAUAUUGAUUAAAGAGCAAUCCUUCAACAAAGUUUCUGCUUCUCCACAUGGCUGCUCAACAAAAGACCACGAUUCCCAACUUUCUUUGCUGCUAGGUUUGGUUAUGUGACUUGGUUUGGCCACUUGGAUGGGAGAGGAAGUAAUACGUGUAAAUUGGAUCAUACCUUAAAAAAGGAAAGAAGUUUGUCCUCCUGGUCAUUCUUCCCUUCAUGCUGGAGAGCCAUCACACCAACUCUGA